rnacentral:rRNA from 1 species
CCUACGGGUGGCAGCAGUGGGGGAUAUUGCACAAUGGGGGAAACCCUGAUGCAGCGACGCCGCGUGUGGGAAGACGGUCCUCUGGAUUGUAAACCACUGUCCCCAGGGACGAAGAUGACGGUACCUGGGGCGGAAGCUCCGGCUAACUACGUGCCAGCAGCCGCGGUAAUACGUAGGGAGCGAGCGUUGUCAGGAAUUACUGGGUGUAAAGGGAGCGUAGGCGGGACUGCAUGUUGGGUGUCAAAUCUACCAGCUCAACCGGUAGCCGCACUCAAAACUGCAGUUCUUGAGUGAAGUAGAGGCAGGCGGAAUUCCUAGUGUAGCGGUGAAAUGCGUAGAUAUUAGGAGGAACACCAGUGGCGAAGGCGGCCUGCUGGGCUUUUACUGACGCUGAGGCUCGAAAGUGUGGGGAGCAAACAGGAUUAGAUACCCGAGUAGUC